rnacentral:rRNA from 1 species
GGCAUAAGGCAGCUUGACUGCGAGACAUACAGGUCGAGCAGGGACGAAAGUCGGGCUUAGUGAUCCGGCGGCACCGUAUGGAAGGGCCGUCGCUCAACGGAUAAAAGCUACCCUGGGGAUAACAGGCUAAUCUCCCCCAAGAGUCCACAUCGACGGGGAGGUUUGGCACCUCGAUGUCGGCUCGUCGCAUCCUGGGGCUGAAGUAGGUCCCAAGGGUUGGGCUGUUCGCCCAUUAAA